CGACUUGAAAUCGGGCGCAGACAGAGCAGACUGAGAUGGAGUGUGUAUGUGUGUGUGUGUGUGUGUGUGUGUGUGUGUGCGUGUGUGUGUGUGUGUGUGUGUGGGGCAGAAUUUACUACUAAAGGAUCAGGCAGAAAUCAUAUCCAGAGACACAAAGCGUAAAGUGUAAACACAGCCAGUAUGAACAUACACAUCAGCACGAGAAACAAAAAUACGGGACGAUUCUGUAAGCCACUGGAACCGGAGCGCUGACCUGAGUUUGACACUGAGAAUGAUAAUGAGCACCAACAAACUUGAUUCGUUCACCUUUAGUAUGACCAUGGUCCUAGUAGAGGACGAAUACACCCUGAUUAGGGGCAAUUUAGAUAGCAUAAGCAUUCCACCUAGUGGCAUGUUUUUUUGGAUUUGGGAGGAAACCGGAGAAUCCGGAGGACAUGGGCAUGGAGAGAACAUGUGAAACUCCGUAACCCGAGCUCAGGUUUGACCCCGGAGCUGUGAGGUGGAAACUAUGAGAAGUGAUGAACUUUGCUGUUAGCACCUGUUAUUUCCUGUCGGUGCUGAUCAUCAACAUUAGCCAACACCUUACUGGCUAACACUACAAACCGUACGUCUGUAUACUUUAGUACAGGACUGGUGGUUAACGGAAAAAGGUGGCUAACUUUUUUUUUUUUUUUUUUUACAGGAUACCAGUACCAAAACUUCAAGUACUUCAUGUACAGUAGUGCUUGAAAGUUCGUGAAAGAAUUUUCUAUAUAUCUGCAUACGUAUGACCUACUAAAACAUCAUCGGAUUUUCACACAAAGAGAACCCAAUUAAACACAGGAGACGAAAAUAUUAUAGUUCGACCUCUGGAAAAGACGUGUUGACGUUCAUGUGACAAUACCGUUUCUCAUAGGGAGCCGUCCUACACACGACUGGUCGUGACACACACUCUGCCUACUAACCAGCAGAGCACGAGUCAGAACAGACGGAACCCACGAACACACAGGCGGCACCCAUUCAUCUCUGUUACUCUGCAAAAAAAAAAAGUACAGGAAGGGUCACAGGGGAGCCUGGAGGUUAUCCCAGGGGUUUCAGGGCACAGGUCGGGGGACACCCUGGACUGGGUGCCAACCCAUCACAAGGCACAAUCACACUCACACACACACACACACACACACACACCCACUCAUACACUACGGACAAUUUAGAGAUGCCAGUUAGCCUACAGCGCACGUCUUUGGACUGGGGGAGGAAACCGGAGUAACCGGAGGAAACCCCCGAAGCACGGGGAGAACAUGCAAACUCCGCACACACACAGGGCAGAAGCGGGAAUUGCACCCCCAACCCCACUGUGCCACCAUGCCCCCCAGUGAGGAUCACAGUGAGUCCAGGUCAAAGGUUACUGAGAGUAGUGAGAAAGAGACAUCAUGUCAAGAGAUGUAUAAUGUGUCGGGGCACCACAAGCCACCAGCACAGCUUCCAUUCACCUUCUCAUAGAUUCUUCAAUUCUCUCGAGCAGGGAACACCAUUUUUCCACCAGAUGAUCUUCUCUCAGGUGGUGUUUCAAUGAUGGCGGUAGAGAGCACUCCAAGAUCGACCAGCGGUGCGAAACUGGGUCGAGAUUUGAUGACUGUAAAGACCGUAGCAUAUCAUUUACCUUAUCCUUAUCCUCAUCCAAGCUCCUUACACACUGUGGAUGGGGGUGGAGUCAUGCUGGAAGAGACCACGCCCAUCAGGAUGGAAAGGUUUCGUCAUAGGAUUUGGCUGCGUCUCAAUCAGCUCCCUAGCGCCCUAGGUGGUGAAUCAGUAUAUCACGUACACUAGUUCGGGGACUACUAAGGACCCUGGCUCACUACAUAUUGUGAGCCACUGAUGACUCAAUUUUCGGCGACAUGAUCACGUACUCACGUUGUAAAACGACACCACUGGCAUUUAUCAACAACAAGCAGAACUGAUAUCUUCCUGACGUUAUAUGUCAUAUAAAUCUGUUAGCUUAAUCUCACGUGUUUCUGUCAUUCCAGUUCAAGCAGGACCAAAGUCUACAGUAGCUAGAGGAUGUUUUAAAAUCUGGGGACUCAAACAAACCGUAUAUAGAACAUCAAAUAAAGUUCAAAAUCGCUAACGUGAGUAAUCAUUCGAGAGCCACGACAACGCUAACAAGCUACUUACAUUUGCAGGCGAUGUUGGCUGAGAGUUCGUCCGCCAUUUUCUUUUUUUUUUCGAGUUGAGUGCCUUCAGAAAACAUGACACCAUUUCCAGAAAAGGAACAUAGUGAGCAUCGACACUCCCUGGUUUUUGUGGUGCAUCGUGGGAUUUUUUUAUGGCGCACACCAGAAGGGUUUUGCGAUUGAGGCAGCCCUCAAAAUGGCCGACGCCCUGAUCAGCGCCCUGACUACUGAACUAGAGAGGUGACCGAGACGCAGCUUUAGUGUUCAUUCGCAGUGACGCGUCUCUCUAAGCGGAGCCAAUUAAACAAAUCCAUAUUAAAAUGAUGAGUCUGGGGGUCUCUCAGAUGUUUUAUCUUGCCAAGUGCACAGUGGUGCUUGAAAGUUGCUACUUGGUCAUUUAUUUAUUAAGGCAAAUGACCCAAUUUUGCACACGUUUGAGUGGCAAAAGUAUGUGAACCUUUGCUUUUCAGUAUCGGUAGUAUUCAGUAGCUACUGAAAGCGGAAGGGGCGGAGCCAAAAGAGGCCGUGGGCGUUUGAAUUUUUCUAAUUGACUUAACGUGAGAACACUGACAUGCAGAAAACAUAACCAAGGAGCGCAGAGUUGAUGUGUUGGGCUUCAAAAAGCUCGGUUUCUGGAUGAUUAGGUGCUCAGUGUAGCAGUCUAGUGCAUAGAGCAGGAUUUGAGACAGUGUGGUGACUGAGUAAAAGCUUUGGGAGAAGGGUUCCAUGUGUGUGUGUGUGUGUGUGAGAAUGAGAAUCACCUCUACUACAGAUGGGAUGAGUGGGAGUGCUCUGCCGGACGUCCGCGAGAGCCUAUUUCCGGAGCAUUCUAGGAAGUCUGUUUCACACAUUAAAAGGCUGUCAUGGAGGUCAGAUACACAUGGUUGGUGUGUGUGUGUGUGUGUGUAUGAGUGUGUGUGUGUGCUCAGAGUUUACCUACAUCCAUCUCCCUAUCUGAGCUCAAGCUUCACAGUAACAGCUCUUCCUGUUGAAUAAUUCAGUAUCAAAAAGCACAGUGCGAUCUAGGAGCAGCGGGGCAGGAAGUAAAAAUAGAGCCAAAAUAAAUGGCUUUGCACAGAGCCGCUCUCCAGCAGCGACUGUGAGCAGGUACAGUCCUGGAUACGCCAUAUGCAGUGUUUCAGCAUCCUACAGUCUACAUUUCCAUGUAUUCGCUUCAGCAGAAGCUUUAAUGCAAAGCAACUUAGACAUGCGUCAGAGUCCAAGUCAAAGCACAGAGCUGUUAAGUAAACUGACACUUUGACAUCUGUCAGAAAAAGCAUCGGUGUGUUGCUGGGGUGGUUCAGGCAUGAUUGUGGGCAACGUUUGAGGGUUGUUUUGUCUCACUUUAGUUGUUAUGAUAGUGAAUGAGCUUUUUAACACGUUGUACUUACUCCUUGGAGCAACAACAUGAGGCAUGUUUUUGACAUUUUGUGAAAGCAGACUAUGGGGUGCCAAUACAUAUGCACCAUUUAAUCUGUUUACAUCAAACCCUGGUUUAUUUUCCGCCUCCAACGCGUCUGAACGAGAUGUUCUCGGUCUACUUCCAGUUAAACUCUAGCGCUGAGAAAGUGAUGUGUGUGUGUGUGUGUGUGUGUGUGUGUGGAUGCGAGCUGCUAAACCAAGCCAUGAAAUGCCAUGUGUUCUGGAUGUUUUUACCAAUGAAAAUGGAGAGAGAAAAAAAAGAGAAUAAACUACACGUGAUACACAAAACGUUAUUGAAUCAUUCCUUGAGGGCCAGCUCCCUGUUCUCCGUGCUCAUGUGAGACUCUGAUUUGUUUACUUUGGUUUAUUUAAUGUGAUCUGCAGUUGCGCAAC